UACGGAGGAUCCAAGCGUUAUCCGGAAUCAUUGGGUUUAAAGGGUCCGUAGGUGGAUAAUUAAGUCAGAGGUGAAAUCCUGCAGCUCAACUGUAGAAUUGCCUUUGAUACUGGUUAUCUUGAAUUAUUGUGAAGUAGUUAGAAUAUGUAGUGUAGCGGUAGAAGUGCAUAGAUAUUACAUAGAAUACCCAAUUGCGAAGGCAGAUUACUAACAAUACAUUGACACUGAUGGACGAAAGCGUGGGGAGCGAACAGGAUUAGAUACCCGCGUAGU
rnacentral:rRNA from 1 species